rnacentral:rRNA from 1 species
GACGAACGCUGGCGGCGUGCUUAACACAUGCAAGUCGUACGGUAAGGCCCUUUCGGGGGUCCACGAGUGGCGAACGGGUGAGUAACACGUGAGUAACCUGCCCACAACUUUGGGAUAACGCUAGGAAACUGGUGCUAAUACUGGAUAUGUGCUCCUGCUGCAUGGUGGGGGUUGGAAAGCUCCGGCGGUUGUGGAUGGACUCGCGGCCUAUCAGCUUGUUGGUGGGGUAGUGGCCUACCAAGGCGGCGACGGGUAGCCGGCCUGAGAGGGUGACCGGCCACAUUGGGACUGAGAUACGGCCCAGACUCCUACGGGAGGCAGCAGUGGGGAAUAUUGCACAAUAGGCGCAAGCCUGAUGCAGCAACGCCGCGUGCGGGAUGACGGCCUUCGGGUUGUAAACCGCUUUCAGCAGGGACGAAGCUUUUUGUGACGGUACCUGCAGAAGAAGCACCGGCUAACUACGUG